UUAUUCUAAUAAUUUGGAGAGCAUGAUGAUCGUCUCUGUCCGAUCUCUUCAACUACUGCUUCUUUUAGUGAUGUUACUGUUUUGCCGACGCUAUCACUUUACCUCCUCAAAAGUUUUCCCAUGUAUGCUCUUGCUCUUCACCCUCUAAUUCUUAUGAGAUGGGAAGUUGGUAGAGUUUAUGGCUCUGGUUUUGAGGAUUUUGAUGUAGCUCAUUCGGUUUCGAUGGGCUUGGAUACUUGUGUUUCUACAUUUGUGUUCCUUUGCUUUUAUCGUUUUGAUGCGAUCAUUUAUAGCAAUAUUCGGAUUAUGUAUUUAUUUGCUUAUGUUAAAAAUUGUCUCGUUGCAGUUUAGAAAAGUUUUUUGAGUUUAGACAACCAACCACUUAUCCUAGUUUAUUGAGGCUUUCAAUAGCCAUUUCUGCUUUAUAGAUCUUGUUAUCCUUCUAAAUACUUUAUUUGUGUUUAGUGAUAAUGUUAUAAGGAGCAUUGUGUGCAAGACUAUUCUACUUGAAUUAGAAGCGGGCAUUGUUGUUCAAGACUGUUCUUGUCCAACAUUUAUUGGCCAUA
rnacentral:sRNA from 1 species